UUUUCGUAGGUGAACCAGCGGAAGGAUCAUUACCGAGUUAGGAGCCCUUGGGCUCCACACUUGCAACCCUUUCCUUACAACCUUUGGUUGCUUUGGCGGAGCGGAGGAGUCUCAUCUCCGCCCGCCGGCGUCGGUCGGUGCGCCCUCCGCCAGAGAUUUAUCAAAACCCCCUUAAAAACGUGUCAGUCUGAAGCAAAAAAUUAAAAAUAAAAAAAAAACUACCAACAACGGAUCUCUGGGAUCUAGCAACAAUGAAGAACGCAGCAGAACGGAAGA
rnacentral:misc_RNA from 1 species